UUCAUUGUAGUCUAGUUGAUUAGGAUACUCGACUCUCACCCGAGAGACCCGGUUUCAAGUCCUGGCAACGAAA
rnacentral:tRNA from 1 species